rnacentral:rRNA from 1 species
UACGGAGGGUGCAAGCGUUGUCCGGAUUUAUUGGGUUUAAAGGGCGCGUAGGCGGCACGAGCAGUCGGCGGUGAAAGCCCGGAGCUCAACUCCGGGUCGGCCGUCGAUACUCUCGUGCUCGAGCACUGUAGAGGCAGGUGGAAUUCCGGGUGUAGCGGUGGAAUGCGUAGAGAUCCGGAAGAACACCGGUGACGAAGGCGGCCUGCUGGGCAGUAGCUGACGCUGAGGCGCGACAGCGUGGGGAGCAAACAGG